CUGAGAGUUUGAUUCUGGCUCAGAACGAACGCUGGCGGCAGGCUUAACACAUGCAAGUCGAGCGGUAACAGGUCGCGACCUUUCGGGGUUCUGGACGGACG
rnacentral:rRNA from 1 species